ACGGGUUCAUAUACACAAGAGGAGGACAAGUUGAUUUGCUAAUGUUGGAUGGAGAUUAGCCAAGAUCCGAGGACGGGAGCGCAACAAAAGGGCCUAGUUUUUUGGACGAGAGUCCACAAAACUUUCCAUGAAAGGAAGAUGUUUGAGCCCUACCAAAUCACAAGCAACCGUGGCAUCACCUCGAUUCAAAAGAGGUGGUAG
rnacentral:rRNA from 1 species